rnacentral:rRNA from 1 species
GGAGGGGGCUAGCGUUGUUCGGAAUCACUGGGCGUAAAGGGUCCGUAGGCGGCCAUGCAAGUCUUGGGUGAAAUCCCCCGGCUCAACUGGGGAACUGCCUGGGAAACUGUGUGGCUUGAGUCCGGUAGAGGGAGAUGGAAUUCCGGGUGUAGCGGUGAAAUGCGUAGAUAUCCGGAGGAACACCAGUGGCGAAGGCGAUCUCCUGGGCCGGUACUGACGCUGAGGGACGAAAGCUAGGGGAGCAAACAGGAUUAGAUAGCCUGGUAGUCCUAGCUGUAAACGUUGGGUACUUGGUGUGCCCGUCCCAUGAGGGCGGUGUGCCGGCGCUAACACAUUAAGUACCCCGCCUGGGGAGUACGGCCGCAAGGCUG